rnacentral:rRNA from 1 species
UACAGAGGUCUCAAGCGUUGUUCGGAUUCAUUGGGCGUAAAGGGUGUGUAGGUGGCGCCGUAAGUCGGGUGUGAAAUUUCGGAGCUUAACUCCGAAACUGCCCUUGAUACUGGCGGUCUCGAGUCCGGGAGAGGUGAGUGGAACUGCGAGUGUAGAGGUGAAAUUCGUAGAUAUUCGCAAGAACACCAGUGGCGAAGGCGGCUCACUGGCCCGGUACUGACGCUGAGGUGCGAAAGCGUGGGGAGCAAACAGG